GACGAACGCUGGCGGCGUGCCUAAUACAUGCAAGCUGAGCGCUGAAGGUUGGUACUUGUACCAACUGGAUGAGCAGCGAACGGGUGAGUAACGCGUGGGGAAUCUGCCUUUGAGCGGGGGACAACAUUUGGAAACGAAUGCUAAUACCGCAUAAAAACUUUAAACACAAGUUUUAAGUUUGAAAGAUGCAAUUGCAUCACUCAAAGAUGAUCCCGCGUUGUAUUAGCUAGUUGGUGAGGUAAAGGCUCACCAAGGCGAUGAUACAUAGCCGACCUGGGAGGGUGAACGGCCACAUUGGGACUGAGACACGGCCCAAACUCCUACGGGAGGCAGCAGUAGGGAAUCUUCGGCAAUGGACGAAAGUCUGACCGAGCAACGCCGCGUGAGUGAAGAAGGGUUUCGGAUCGUAAAACUCUGUUGGUAGAGAAGUACGUUGGUGAGAGUGGAGAGCUCAUCAAGUGACGGUAACUACCCAGAAAGGGACGGCUAACUACGUGCCAGCAGCCGCGGUAA
rnacentral:rRNA from 1 species